UUGCUGAACUGAUCGGAACCAGAUACACAAUGAGAGUGCUGGAAGGGGAAGGCGUCUCCCAGGGAGGCAGUGAUGGUGCCUCUUCAAGAGGAAAGAUCUGUUUCAGCUGCCGUAAGCAGAUGUUUCUGAAGUGGCCUUACAGCUGUUACCUCUGCAGCAGGAGGAGGUUUUCCUUGAGAACUCGAGU
rnacentral:lncRNA from 1 species